rnacentral:rRNA from 1 species
AUUGAACGCUGGCGGCAGGCCUAACACAUGCAAGUCGAACGGUAACAGGAAGAAGCUUGCUUCUUUGCUGACGAGUGGCGGACGGGUGAGUAAUGUCUGGGAAACUGCCUGAUGGAGGGGGAUAACUACUGGAAACGGUAGCUAAUACCGCAUAACGUCGCAAGCCCAAAGAGGGGGACCUUCGGGCCUCUUGCCAUCGGAUGUGCCCAGAUGGGAUUAGCUAGUAGGUGGGGUAACGGCUCACCUAGGCGACGAUCCCUAGCUGGUCUGAGAGGAUGACCAGCCACACUGGAACUGAGACACGGUCCAGACUCCGACGGGAGGCAGCAGUGGGGAAUAUUGCACAAUGGGCGCAAGCCUGAUGCAGCCAUGCCGCGUGUAUGAAGAAGGCCUUCGGGUUGUAAAGUACUUUCAGCGGGGAGGAAGGGAGUAAAGUUAAUACCUUUGCUCAUUGACGUUACCCGCAGAAGAAGCACCGGCUAACUCCGUG